rfam:Stentor coeruleus isolate WM001 SteCoe_contig_1156, whole genome shotgun sequence.
GCUUCCAUAGCUCAGCAGGCAGAGCAUUAGGCUGUUAACCUAAAGGUCAGUGGUUCAAUCCCACUUGGUAGCG